AGGCUGGAUCCUGGCUCAGGACGAACGCUGGCGGCGUGCCUACACAUGCAAGUCGAGCGAAGCUUGACGGGUAGCUUGCUACCGGUUAAGACUGAGCGGCGAACGGGUGAGUAACACGUGGGUGAUCUACCUGAAAGUCUGGGAUAACAGUUGGAAACGGCUGCUAAUACCGGAUGAACCCGGUGCUCAACUCAGUGAAUUAAUGCUUUAGUUUACUGAGUUGAGUUCCGGGCAAAGCGUUACGGAGCGCUUUCAGAUGAGCCCGCGUCCCAUUAGUUAGUUGGUAGGGUAACGGCCUACCAAGGCGACGAUGGGUAGCCGGUCUGAGAGGAUGGUCGGCCACACUGGAACUGAGACACGGUCCAGACUCCUACGGGAGGCAGCAGUGGGGAAUUUUGCGCAAUGGGGGCAACCCUGACGCAGCGACGCCGCGUGAGUGAAGAAGGCCUUCGGGUUGUAAAGCUCUGUUGAGGGGGAAGAUAGUGACGGUACCCUCUUAAGAAAGCCCCGGGUA
rnacentral:rRNA from 1 species